CCCUAAACGCUGCCCCCUCCUUUCAGAACGCUCUGUUAGGGCUUGACUCUGAUCUUGGCCAAAGAUUUCUCGAGCUCAGUUUUGUCUUUCACUCCGUUUUCUGAGACUACUUCUCGGACUGUUGCACUUCGCAGUUGGUGUCGAGGCCUCGUAUAAGCCCUUUUUCCAGAUGGGAGAACCCCUGGCAAUGGUAAUGAUGAUAGGAAUACUACAGCUUGAUGGACUGGACGAUCCCAUCGCUAAAGAAUUUAUUUGCUAUGUUUUCUUGUCUAUACUAGACUCAUUACUAUUAGUUCGUUAGUAUUUUUAUGUUUUGGGCCAUGUGAGGCCUCUUUUAUGUUUAUGGAUAUGUUGGGGUACGGAGUACUUCAUAUUCCAAAUCUUCGUACCCUCCGAAUAUUAUGUA